GACGAACGCUGGCGGCGUGCUUAACACAUGCAAGUCGAACGGAAAGGCCCUGCUUGCAGGGUACUCGAGUGGCGAACGGGUGAGUAACACGUGGGUGAUCUGCCCUGCACUUCGGGAUAAGCCUGGGAAACUGGGUCUAAUACCGGAUAGGAGCCAUUUUUAGUGUGAUGGUUGGAAAGUUUUUUCGGUGUAGGAUGAGCUCGCGGCCUAUCAGCUUGUUGGUGGGGUAAUGGCCUACCAAGGCGGCGACGGGUAGCCGGCCUGAGAGGGUGGACGGCCACAUUGGGACUGAGAUACGGCCCAGACUCCUACGGGAGGCAGCAGUGGGGAAUAUUGCACAAUGGGCGCAAGCCUGAUGCAGCGACGCCGCGUGGGGGAUGACGGCCUUCGGGUUGUAAACUCCUUUCGCUAGGGACGAAGCUUUUUGUGACGGUACCUAGAUAAGAAGCACCGGCUACCUCCGU
rnacentral:rRNA from 1 species